rnacentral:rRNA from 1 species
AUUGAACGCUGGCGGCAUGCCUUACACAUGCAAGUCGAACGGCAGCACGGGAGCUUGCUCCUGGUGGCGAGUGGCGAACGGGUGAGUAAUACAUCGGAACAUACCCAGUAGUGGGGGAUAACGCACCGAAAGGUGCGCUAAUACCGCAUACGACCUACGGGUGAAAGCGGGGGACCGUAAGGCCUCGCGCUAUUGGAGCGGCCGAUGUCUGAUUAGCUAGUUGGCGGGGUAAAAGCCCACCAAGGCGGCGAUCAGUAGCUGGUCUGAGAGGCCGAUCAGCCACACUGGGACUGAGACACGGCCCAGACUCCUACGGGAGGCAGCAGUGGGGAAUUUUGGACAAUGGGGGCAACCCUGAUCCAGCAAUGCCGCGUGUGCGAAGAAGGCCUUCGGGUUGUAAAGCACUUUUGUCAGGGAAGAAAUCUUUCAGGCUAAUACCCUUGGAAGGAUGACGGUACCUGAAGAAUAAGCACCGGCUAACUACGUGCCAGCAGCCGCCGUAA